rnacentral:rRNA from 1 species
CAAUAGCGUAUAUUAAAGUUGUUGCAGUUAAAAAGCUCGUAGUUGGAUUUCUGGUGGGAGCGAUCGGUCUGGCGCUUAGCGCGAGUACUUGCAUCGUCUCCGGCCAUCCUUGGGGAGAGUCUGUCUGGCAUUAGGUUGUCGGGCAGAGGAUCGUCAUCGUUUACUGUGAAAAAAUUAGAGUGUUCAAAGCAGGCUUAUGCCGUUGAAUAUAUUAGCAUGGAAUAAUAAGAUAGGACUUUGGUACUAUUUUGUUGGUUUGCGCACCAAAGUAAUGAUUAAUAGGGACAGUUGGGGGUAUUCGUAUUCCGUUGUCAGAGGUGAAAUUCUUGGAUUUACGGAAGACGAACUACUGCGAAAGCAUUUACCAAGGAUGUUUUCAUUAA